AUUGAACGCUGGCGGCAGGCCUAACACAUGCAAGUCGAACGGUAACAGGAAACAGCUUGCUGUUUCGCUGACGAGUGGCGGACGGGUGAGUAAUGUCUGGGAAACUGCCUGAUGGAGGGGGAUAACUACUGGAAACGGUAGCUAAUACCGCAUAACGCCGCAAGACCAAAGAGGGGGACCUUCGGGCCUCUUGCCAUCGGAUGUGCCCAGAUGGGAUUAGCUAGUAGGUGGGGUAACGGCUCACCUAGGCGACGAUCCCUAGCUGGUCUGAGAGGAUGACCAGCCACACUGGAACUGAGACACGGUCCAGACUCCUACGGGAGGCAGCAGUGGGGAAUAUUGCACAAUGGGCGCAAGCCUGAUGCAGCCAUGCCGCGUGUAUGAAGAAGGCCUUCGGGUUGUAAAGUACUUUCAGCGGGGAUGAAGGGAGUAAAGUUAAUACCUUUGCUCAUUGACGUUACCCGCAGAAGAAGCACCGGCUAACUCCGUG
rnacentral:rRNA from 1 species